GAUGAACGCUGGCGGCGCGCCUAAUACAUGCAAGUCGAGCGAACGGACGAGAAGCUUGCUUCUCUGAUGUUAGCGGCGGACGGGUGAGUAACACGUGGAUAACCUACCUAUAAGACUGGGAUAACUUCGGGAAACCGGAGCUAAUACCGGAUAAUAUUUUGAACCGCAUGAUUCAAAAGUGAAAGACGGUCUUGCUGUCACUUAUAGAUGGAUCCGCGCUGCAUUAGCUAGUUGGUAAGGUAACGGCUUACCAAGGCAACGAUGCAUAGCCGACCUGAGAGGGUGAUCGGCCACACUGGAACUGAGACACGGUCCAGACUCCUACGGGAGGCAGCAGUAGGGAAUCUUCCGCAAUGGGCGAAAGCCUGACGGAGCAACGCCGCGUGAGUGAUGAAGGUCUUCGGAUCGUAAAACUCUGUUAUUAGGGAAGAACAUAUGUGUAAGUAACUGUGCACAUCUUGACGGUACCUAAUCAGAAAGCCACGGCUAACUACGUG
rnacentral:rRNA from 1 species